UUGGAUCCUCUUGUCCUGAUAGACUUGAGCUUCAUCGUUAGAUGAUGGCAACCAACUUGCUUCACGUAGAACCAGCGUGGCAACAUGCAGCCAGGCAAAUGUUUGGUUUUUUUUAAUUGCCUGCUGACUGAAAAUUAUUAUUUUUUUAAUUGGCCUGGUAUCAAACCUAACCUAGCAUUUAAUUUGCUUUAUAAAAGUGAGAUAGCUUAAUGCUAAGACAAAACGGCAAAUUCCAUCAAGUGGCGAAUGAAAGUAGCGCCACGACUUAUAUUUGAAUAUAAACCGUUGCAACAUAUGUAGACGGGGCAGACAACUCCGAGGUAUACAUUCUUUAUCCUCCUGAAAGGAGUUAAACUUGUCAGGAAAGGCAUCACUGGAGGUUUUAACAGAAAUCAAACAGAGUUGGCUGCAAACAAUGUCACAAACUCUUUUUUUUUUUUUUCUAAUGUAAGAACAGAAUGGAUCUUCCCUUUUCUGGAGACACACGAGGAAAUUGCAGAAGGGAAGCACCACAAAAAUAAGCAAUUUGCACCCGCUGGUUUAGAUGCGACAACGCCGUAGCAGCUUGCUCAAAUAAUUAAUUGGGCCCAGGACAAGUGAGGCACAGAGGGAAGUCCCCCAUUUGAAAGGCUAACACUUUUUCUCCUUUUCUUUUGUAAUCUAGCUAGAUGCGUCGUUACUGUGUGACGUCAACACCCAUUCGUAGUCACGUUUUGAGAAUAAAAGCUCUUUUGAAAGCCA